rnacentral:rRNA from 1 species
AUAAUACUAACGGCGUAAAGCACGACCAAUAAUAAGUUAAAACACUAGGAACGAAGAUAAACUAGGCCGUAAAAAGCCAUAAGCCACACUAACCAAACCCUAACACCAAACAACUACCACUCGUGAAAGCUAGGACACAAACUAAGAUUAGAUACCUUACUAUGCCCAACUAUAACACAACAAUUAAAUAACCCAUUGUUCGCCAAAUAACUACGAGUGAAAACUUAAAAUUUAAAAGACUUGACGGUGCCUCAAACCAACCUAGAGGAGCCUGUCUAAUAACCGAUACCCCACGAUAAACCCGACCCACUCUAGCCUACAGUCUAUAUACCGCCGUCGCCAGCCUACCUUGUGAAAGAAACAAAGUGAGCCUAAUAGCCCCACACUAAUACGACAGGUCGAGGUGUAACUUAUGAGUGGGAACAAGAUGGGCUACAUUUUCCAACACAGAAAAUACGAAUUAAUCUAUGAAAUAAGAAACUGAAGGCGGAUUUAGCAGUAUGCUGAGAACAAUAUACCCAGCUGAAACCAACGCAAUGAGGUGCGUACACACCGCCCGUCAUCCCUGUUAAUCAACUAAAAACCAUACAUAAA